GAGGGAAGGUUCGUGGGGAAUAGCGCCUUCCCCUCAGGCAGAGAUCGGAAGAGGGGUACGAGAGGGAAUGGCACCUUUGCCUCAGGAGGGAUAUUGCACAUAUCCAUGAAGUGACUGAUACAGGCACUGCACAGAUGCUCAGAAAAAUGCUGAGGAGACCACUCUCCACUGACAGACACCUCUUGAGAGCUAGCAGACACCAUGGCAUUGUUGCAAUGGGGAUGGGAAGAAAAUGAAUAUAAUUUGCACAAGAAGAGGACAGAGCUCAUCCAAGAGGAGAAAUUUUAAUGGAAGAGGGCUAGGAACACUGAGCCUGAACAGCUCCUUGCUCUUGAGAUUGGUGCCAUUACGUCUACUUGGGCCAAGCUCGAUGAGGUAACAUGGAAGGACAGAGUCCUGCUACCAGGUAACCCUGCCCAGUACCAGGGCUCAACUCAGGGAAGAGGCAUUUGCUCAUCCUCCUGUAUAUUGUACUAUUUACACAGCCAUCAGUUUCAUCCCAUUGCCAGCUGGGCAGGUCAUGAGGGGCAUUUUUGACACAAGGGACUCUCCCACUGGUACCAUUUAAAAAAAUGCAAUUAAUACUUUUUAAAAAAACCCCUUAAACUAAUUUCCUUUCCUGAUUCCUUUCACUGUCCUUGCAAAUACAGCAACGUUUGAUUUACCACCACCUACACAAAGAGAUCAAACCUUCACAUUUGCCUGGAUUUAACCACCUCACACAGCAGGGAAAGGGCUGCCCUCCGGCACCAUCUGGC
rnacentral:lncRNA from 1 species